UGAGGAAUAUUGGUCAAUGGGCGAGAGCCUGAACCAGCCUAGUAGCGUGCAGGAUGACGGCCCUAUGGGUUGUAAACUGCUUUUAUAUGGGAAUAAAGUGAGGGACGUGUCCCUUAUUGCAUGUACCAUACGAAUAAGGACCGGCUAAUUCCGUGCCAGCAGCCGCGGUAAUACGGAAGGUCCAGGCGUUAUCCGGAUUUAUUGGGUUUAAAGGGAGCGUAGGCUGAUUGUUAAGCGUGUUGUGAAAUGUAAGAGCUCAACUUUUAGAUUGCAGCGCGAACUGGCAGACUUGAGUGCGCACAACGUAGGCGGAAUUCAUGGUGUAGCGGUGAAAUGCUUAGAUAUCAUGACGAACUCCGAUUGCGAAGGCAGCUUACGGGAGCGCAACUGACGCUAAAGCUCGAAGGUGCGGGUAUCGAACAGG
rnacentral:rRNA from 1 species